GAUGAACGCUGGCGGUGUGCCUAAUACAUGCAAGUCGAGCGAACAGACGAGGAGCUUGCUCCUCUGACGUUAGCGGCGGACGGGUGAGUAACACGUGGAUAACCUACCUAUAAGACUGGGAUAACUUCGGGAAACCGGAGCUAAUACCGGAUAAUAUAUUGAACCGCAUGGUUCAAUAGUGAAAGACGGUUUUGCUGUCACUUAUAGAUGGAUCCGCGCCGCAUUAGCUAGUUGGUAAGGUAACGGCUUACCAAGGCAACGAUGCGUAGCCGACCUGAGAGGGGGAUCGGCCACACUGGAACUGAGACACGGUCCAGACUCCUACGGGAGGCAGCAGUAGGGAAUCUUCCGCAAUGGGCGAAAGCCUGACGGAGCAACGCCGCGUGAGUGAUGAAGGUCUUCGGAUCGUAAAACUCUGUUAUUAGGGAAGAACAAAUGUGUAAGUAACUAUGCACGUCUUGACGGUACCUAAUCAGAAAGCCACGGCUAACUACGUG
rnacentral:rRNA from 1 species